rnacentral:rRNA from 1 species
CACCAGACUCCUACGGGAGGCAGCAGUGGGGAAUAUUGCACAAUGGGGGAAACCCUGAUGCAGCGACGCCGCGUGAGCGAUGAAGUAUUUCGGUAUGUAAAGCUCUAUCAGCAGGGAAGAAGAUGACGGUACCUGACUAAGAAGCCCCGGCUAACUACGUGCCAGCAGCCGCGGUAAUACGUAGGGGGCAAGCGUUAUCCGGAUUUACUGGGUGUAAAGGGAGCGUAGACGGCGAUGCAAGCCAGAUGUGAAAGCCCGGGGCUCAACCCCGGGACUGCAUUUGGAACUGUGUGGCUGGAGUGUCGGAGAGGCAGGCGGAAUUCCUAGUGUAGCGGUGAAAUGCGUAGAUAUUAGGAGGAACACCAGUGGCGAAGGCGGCCUGCUGGACGAUGACUGACGUUGAGGCUCGAAAGCGUGGGGAGCAAACAGGAUUAGAUACCCGAGUAC